AUCUAAAUAGUUUAUAAAAAAUUGAAAUUUGUGGAGUUUUAGAAGAGUUAUUCUUUAGAUA
rnacentral:tRNA from 1 species